GACAAGCAUGGUUUCAUCAUCAUGCUUCAACUUUUUAACAAUGCGCAAGGCCUUAAAUCCCUCACCCAAUUUUUCGGCGAAAUGGCAUAGCUAAUGGCCCGACCCCACGCUCAAUAGAGGAGCAAACAAGCGACUUUAGAGAGUCGUUAAGAAGUUCAAGUGCUCGUCAAGAACCGGACACAGAAAGGAUUCAAGGACAUAUUGGAGCAGCCUCAACACGGCAAAUAAGAAAAUCUUAACACUAGCAAAGAUAAUAGACAGCAAGUAUCACAUACCAAUGAGAGCUUUGAUCUUGGACUUGAUGAAACGCUCUUGGUAGUACGGCGAAUUCGCCAGUUCCUCUACAUCCAUAGUGGCAAAUUUUUCUGUCAUUGGCGCGGUCGGGGCUAAUUCAUUUGUUACAAAAUUUCCAAAAACAGGGUAGCAAUUCAAUCGAAAUCCCCCCAAGGAGGAACGCCAAGAGGCACUGAAAACUUGCAGCCGCAGUGGAACCCUGCGAAUGCUGAUUAUAAUGGGUCCAACGACCACCAAGCGUGAAUUAGUCACAAACCGCUGCACUUGUCAGAUAAAUGAUCCGAGGCGGGGCUUACCGGGAAUGUCCUAGUUGCUCCCACAACUGAUGACAGCGUCACUACAAUAACAGUAAGCUACAUAAGGAAUUAUCCAAACACCUCCAAAAUGAAGAGCAAACGACACCAACUAGAACCACAGAGAAAACAGUACGUCCUCGUUGACAGCCGUGUGAAGUGUGUAGUACAUGUGCCGGCACAUGACUUCCUACACAUUUACAACACUAGUGCCGGAACAGGACACACAGACACACUGCACGCUAGACAAACGGGAAAGCUGGUCCAAGUCAAGGCAGCAACACCAACGAUUCGUUGACAGAGUGGUUUUUAUCCUGUUUUUUUCUUCUUUAGGUCAGAUCUACUUGAGAUAUCCAAGCACAGGACGCCAGUAGCAGCAAGAUAACGUAGUCAGCCCCACAGCCCGCUGUAUUAUCAGACAGAAGAUAGCGUGUCACAUGACCCCGCGACACCAUGUGUCAUCUUCUUAACGAUGCUGCCAACAGUUUAAAAAAUGACACGUUUUAAUCAACCACUGCGGGCUCACAACAGGCAGCGGACAUAAAAAAAUGUCUCCCGAGUCGUCAUCUAACUGGAUACCACAUUGCUGGCGCCCACCGUGAUUCAACGCGUCAUCAUGUGAAGCACAUGGCCGUAAGGACGUGUGGCGUGCAACAGUAGUAUAUUAUGGUAGGCAGUGUUCCCUCAUUAAAAAGACGGCAAAGUUAGUGUGCUCUAUAGCUCUAUGUUUUGUGACGGUGAUGUGAGGAGCUUACUCGGCUAGUGCUUGUAGCGUUGUGUAAUACACUUCCACAUCAAAGUGUGAGCCACACCAUCGUUUUAAGAGUGCAGAUGCGAGACCGCUACAGCCACCUCAAGGCGUUGUCAAGUGAUGAUGAAAGGAUUUCUUCAAUCGGUCAAAUUAGCUUCAGUGUUCUCUUGUCGUACCGAGAUGCAACAAACGACAUGAUCCCAAAGAUGACUGACAAACCCCCAGAGAGCACCAUCAACUGAGAGCACCAGUGUGGACAGUAUCCGGCCAGAAGUGUUCCAGCCCUCCACAAGAGAACACAGUGCCCUUCAUCUUCAUCCCAUCUGCAGCAGUUGGCAUUUAGAUGUGUGCCUAUGAUCCAACAGUGUAUAGUGUAAUAUGGACCACUCCAUAAGCAUUGUGCAUUAUUACUCAGCUAUAAAGGUCAACAAGUUGUUCUGCUAGCUGUAACAGUUAAAUUACGGACAAGUCUCACUCCAUGAACUGAACUGGAAACAUGUCUAACAUACUAUACAGAAAUAUCUGUAAAUGGAAGACGGAAAAAUAAAAUUAAUUCUUAAAAGUCCAUUCGUAUUCUUUACUUUUUUUUAAACAGGAAGUGGGGGUAAAACUAUAAUUCUAAACACACAUGAUGGUCCCAUGUGACUAAAAUUGCAAUGUUUAUUAAAUUCAUGGGUAUAAUGACAGAGAAAUCAGUAGGACUCAAGCCACAAAGAAUCCAAAAUGAUGAUUCUCUUUACUCCCUCCUCCCAACAAUAAUAAAAUACAAUAAUACAAUAUAGCGCUAGGCGCGGCCCCUCUGUAUGUUUCUGAUCUACCUGACGAUUUACCAACAGAUGUCUGACAACGGUACCACUUGACAGUCGAGUAUCUACUACAAUCCACAAUACUAGAAAUGUUCCAUCUGAAUCUGCAUUAAAGGAGUAAUUAGUUGCUUUAAA